AGUAACAGAUUUCAUUGCAAUUGACAGGAAAUCGCGAAGGACCAGAAAUGGUCCUCAUAAGUCAGCGACACCUAGAUUUAAGACGAGUCAAAAGUAAAAAUUGCAAUUAAAGAAAGCGAUGAAUACAAAGAGAAACCUAGUCAUUCAAAAAAUUACCAACAAAACGGAGUGAUAUAAAUAUUCAUAUACCGUAGCAUUUGGGAGAGAGAAAAAAAACAUAAGGCGGGAAAAUUCAGUGAUUAAUUUUUUUUUAUUUUCGUUCAUUUCGUCAUGCAGGAAAUAAUACACAAAUUCAAGGCACAGCUUAUACAAUACAGAAACAGAUUUAGUCGCAAUUUAAAAGCAGGUGGCUUUCAUCGCAAGAAACAGAAAGGGUCAUCAUAAGUCUGCGACACCAACAUUUGAAAUGAGUCAAAAAUUGAACUAAUAAAAAAAGGUACGAAUGCGAAAGCAGAAUUCAUACUCCAUGUACAUCCAACAUAUGAGAUUAGAAAGUGAGAAGAGAAAAUGAUGCAGUUUAAAUCUGACUGUGAAAUAGGAAAAACAGUCUCGGUGAACUUAUUGCCACCAACUAACAAAUGUCAGCCGGGCCAUCAAAAAUCCAGAGAACAGAAACAUAUUCAAGCCUUAUAAGUCUAAAGAUGGUGAUUAUACAAUCA